UCUUGAUCUUAUCAUUUUUGCUUUAGUAUUAGCCUUUAAUUUUUUUACCUUGGUUGGAAAAUAUAAAAAUCUCCGUCUAGUUUCAGUUAGUUAACAAGUAGUAUGAAGAGAUCUGUUACAGUCAUAUUAAACUGAGGAAUACGUAAAAGAAAACCUUUGCAUGAAAGUACACAGGAACUUAACAUUUAAUUCCCACUGCAACUGCCCUACUCCAGCUGUCAUAGGUUUCAUCCAUUUUGCUCAUGGCUUACAUCCCCAGCUUCUGAAAUCCAGUUCUAGAGAGAGCUGCCUUCCUUCAUAUACUGAUUCUGCCCAGCUAAAUGGAACAGAUGGCUGUGCCUAUAUGUUUGGGAUGAUCCCAUAGAUUCAGAAACCUGAGUCAAGAGACAGAGAUUUCGCUACUUUCUCACCUCUUCAUGGUUUUUCUUAAGGCAAAGGAGAACUUCCUUCAGAGACUCCACAUGGGCCUCCAGAUCAGCUCUGCACAAGGUCACGCACCUUCUCCAGAUAGUUGGCGAGUCUGUCAUUCAGGAAAUGCAUUGUCUCCUUCUCGUUGCUGUUGAACACCCCAUCUUCAUACCAAGCACAGUUUCCCAUCAACCAUGG